rnacentral:rRNA from 1 species
GACAGAGGUGCCGAGCGUUAGGCGGAAUCACUGGGCUUAAAGCGUGUGUAGGCGGGCCGUUAAGUGCCUUGUGAAAUCCCCCGGCUCAACCGGGGAACGGCUGGGCAUACUGGCGGCCUUGAGUCACUCAGGGGUCAGCGGAACAAACGGUGGAGCGGUGAAAUGCGUAGAUAUCGUUUGGAACGCCGACGGCGAAAGCAGCUGACUGGGAGUGAUCUGACGCUGAGACACGAAAGCCAGGGGAGCGGAACGGGAUUAAGAUGACCCUUGUAGUCCCUAGGAACCAACGUCUCAUCUCUACCC